rnacentral:tRNA from 1 species
GGAGAGAUGGCCGAGUGGUUUAAGGCGAUAGUCUUGAAAACUGUUAUAGAGGAAACUCUAUCGGGGGUUCAAAUCCCUCUCUCUCCG